rnacentral:rRNA from 1 species
UACGUAGGGGGCUAGCGUUGUCCGGAAUCAUUGGGCGUAAAGCGCGCGUAGGCGGCCCGGUAAGUCCGUUGUGAAAGUCAAAGGCUCAACCUUUGAAAGCCGAUGGAUACUGCCGGGCUGGAGUCCGGAAGAGGCGAGUGGAAUUCCUGGUGUAGCGGUGGAAUGCGCAGAUAUCAGGAGGAACACCAAUAGCGAAGGCAGCUCGCUGGGACGUUACUGACACUGAGGCGCGAAAGCGUGGGGAGCAAACAGG